rnacentral:tRNA from 1 species
GCUGAUGUAGCUCAGUGGUAGAGCACGUCCUUGGUAAGGACGAGGUCGAGGGUUCAAGUCCCUUCAUCAGCUCCA